rnacentral:rRNA from 1 species
CCUACGGGAGACAGCAGUGAGGAAUAUUGGUCAAUGGGCGCAAGCCUGAACCAGCCAAGUCGCGUGAGGGAUGACGGUCCUAUGGAUUGUAAACCUCUUUUGUCGGGGAGCAAGGCCCGCCACGUGUGGCGGGAAGGAGAGUACCCGAAGAAAAAGCAUCGGCUAACUCCGUGCCAGCAGCCGCGGUAAUACGGAGGAUGCGAGCGUUAUCCGGAUUGAUUGGGUUUAAAGGGUGCGUAGGCGGAAGGUUAAGUCAGCGGUCAAAUGUCGGUGCUCAACACCGGCCUGCCGUUGAAACUGGUCUUCUUGAGUGAGCGAGAAGUAUGCGGAAUGCGUGGUGUAGCGGUGAAAUGCAUAGAUAUCACGCAGAACUCCGAUUGCGAAGGCAGCAUACCGGCGCUCAACUGACGCUGAGGCACGAAAGCGUGGGGAUCGAACAGGAUUAGAUACCCGGGUAGUC